AGGAUUAUAGUUUAUUUAAAACAUUUAAUUUGCAAUUAAAAAAUAUUAAUUUAUAAUUUAUCUUA
rnacentral:tRNA from 1 species